rnacentral:rRNA from 1 species
GACGAACGCUGGCGGCGUGCCUAAUACAUGCAAGUCGAGCGGACGAAUCGAAAGCUUACUUUUGAUUCGUUAGCGGCGGACGGGUGAGUAACACGUGGGCAACCUGCCCUGUAGACGAGGAUAACACCGAGAAAUCGGUGCUAAUACCGGAUAAAACGAAAUGUCGCAUGACGUUUCGUUGAAAGACGGCGCAAGCUGUCGCUACAGGAUGGGCCCGGGGCGCAUUAGCUAGUUGGUGAGGUAACGGCUCACCAAGGCGACGAUGCGUAGCCGACCUGAGAGGGUGAUCGGCCACACUGGGACUGAGACACGGCCCAGACUCCUACGGGAGGCAGCAGUAGGGAAUCUUCCGCAAUGGACGAAAGUCUGACGGAGCAACGCCGCGUGAGCGAAGAAGGCCUUCGGGUCGUAAAGCUCUGUUGUUAGGGAAGAACAAGUAACGCAGUAACUGGCGUUACCGUGACGGUACCUAACGAGAAAGCCACGGCUAACUACGUGCCAGCCGCCGCAGUAA